GUGAGGAAUAUUGCGCAAUGGAGGCAACUCUGACGCAGCCAUGCCGCGUGCAGGAAGAAGGCGCUACGCGUUGUAAACUGCUUUUAACCGGGAAGAAACCCCAGGACGUGUCCUGGGUUGACGGUACCGGAGGAAUAAGCACCGGCUAACUUCGUGCCAGCAGCCGCGGUAAUACGAAGGGUGCAAGCGUUAUCCGGAUUCAUUGGGUUUAAAGGGUGCGUAGGCGGAGCGUUAAGUCAGUGGUGAAAUCCUGCAGCUUAACUGUAGACCUGCCAUUGAUACUGGCGCUCUUGAGUGCGCUUGAAGUGGGCGGAAUGUGCCGUGUAGCGGUGAAAUGCUUAGAUAUGGCACAGAACACCAAUUGCGAAGGCAGCUCACUAAGGCGAUACUGACGCUGAGGCACGAAAGCGUGGGGAUCGAACAGGAUUAGAAACCCUGGUAGUCC
rnacentral:rRNA from 1 species